CAGGCGGUUUCUUAAGUCUGAUGUGAAAGCCCCCGGCUCAACCGGGGAGGGUCAUUGGAAACUGGGGAACUUGAGUGCAGAAGAGGAGAGUGGAAUUCCACGUGUAGCGGUGAAAUGCUAAGAGAUGUGGAGGAACACCAGUGGCGAAGGCGACUCUCUGGUCUGUAACUGACGCUGAGGAGCGAAAGCGUGGGGAGCGAACAGGAUUAGAUACCCUGGUAGUCCACGCCGUAAACGAUGAGUGCUAAGUGUUAGGGGGUUUCCGCCCCUUAGUGCUGCAGCUAACGCAUUAAGCACUCCGCCUGGGGAGUACGGUCGCAAGACUGAAACUCAAAGGAAUUGACGGGGGCCCGCACAAGCGGUGGAGCAUGUGGUUUAAUUCGAAGCAACGCGAAGAACCUUACCAGGUCUUGACAUCCUCUGACAAUCCUAGAGAUAGGACGUCCCCUUCGGGGGCAGAGUGACAGGUGGUGCAUGGUUGUCGUCAGCUCGUGUCGUGAGAUGUUGGGUUAAGUCCCGCAACGAGCGCAACCCUUGAUCUUAGUUGCCAGCAUUCAGUUGGGCACUCUAAGGUGACUGCCGGUGACAAACCGGAGGAAGGUGGGGAUGACGUCAAAUCAUCAUGCCCCUUAUGACCUGGGCUACACACGUGCUACAAUGGGCAGAACAAAGGGCAGCGAAACCGCGAGGUUAAGCCAAUCCCACAAAUCUGUUCUCAGUUCGGAUCGCAGUCUGCAACUCGACUGCGUGAAGCUGGAAUCGCUAG
rnacentral:rRNA from 1 species